rnacentral:tRNA from 1 species
UAUUUGGUAGUUUAACUAAAAUGAGUAUUUUGUAAAUACUAGAUGCUUUAGCCCAAAUAA